CGAACACCAGCGCUGGCCGCAUGGCUUGUUAAAUACAUAAAGAAGCCAAAAAAGUUAAACUAUCCUAUUACUAGAACCCACGCGAGUUCAUGAUUUACUAUUGUAAACAUUCAUAACUCUAUUCUACGUGAAUUUUUAAAGCGAGAUGUUCAGGUGCUAUAUCGGUACAUGUAUAUCUAGUGAACUGAUAAAUCCUACGUAACUAUCGAUCGAUACAGAUAAAUUUCGAUAGGAACAAGUGAUAAGUUUUGUCGUGUUUAAAUUCUAACGACGGUCAUUGCGCUUCAGUCGUGGACAAACAGUUGACUCGAAAUCAGUGUACAUAGCCGUAUUUUAUAAAAAAACAAAAUGUGUUGCGUGUGUAGUUUGAUCUGCAAGAUCCUCAGUUUGAUAGUGUCCUUGCUGUUCAUUGUGGCAGUGGUCCUCCUCAUCCUGUGGGCAACUGGAACUAUCUUCGGAAAAGACGAAGGCACAUCCACAGACGAAGCCACCAACCAACUCCGGCAACUGAUGUACAACAAUCAUCCAAAACUAGUAUAGUUCUAAUAUCGACUUUCUUACUUCAUCACAAGAACUAUUUUCUUACUUCAAACAAUGACUAUAUCAAACCUUGCUAUAAAUAUAAUCUAAGCUUUUGAAACACACUUUCAUUCCCUCUCAAUUUCUAGAAAUUAAUGUAAAUAAUAUGUAUAAGUAUAAAGUAUUCUAGUUGUAAGUUAUUUUAUAUCUUUUUAUUUAUUUAUUAUAAUCAUCGUCGUUAGUUAUAAAUAUAUUUUUAUAUAUUUUGUAACUAGCGUUUAUUUUUUAUAUAAGUAUUAUAAAGGUGAAAUAUAAUUUUGUGGGGAAGUCUGAAAACCUUAGAGAUUUGAAAUCGUGUAACCAUUAUAUGGCCGUGAGGUCGUUGACUUGGCUAUUUACUGAAAUUUGUAUGUUCACCUACGCAGCGAUGUCAUAUGCCUUGGCUGGAGGAUUUGUAAAGAAAUUUAUUCAAAUACCACUAAAGCUAAACGUAUCCACGAUUGGGGAGCAACGACCCCAGAAUACAAGAAUUGAUUGAGACUAAUAUUGUAUCCAGCCAGCCAAGAUAAACGGCUCUGUGUUAUUGUGUGUGCUUUUAUUCGUCAAAAUAAUGACUCAAUAAAAAGUACAAAUUAAUAUGU